rnacentral:rRNA from 1 species
GCCGUAACUAUAACGGUCCUAAGGUAGCGAAAUUCCUUGUCGGGUAAGUUCCGACCCGCAUGAAAGGCGUAAUGAUUUGGGCGCUGUCUCAACAAUAGACUCGGUGAAAUUUAAAUUCCAGUGAAGAUGCUGGGUACCCGCGACAGGACGGAAAGACCCCGUGGAGCUUUACUGUAGCGUGAUAUUGAAUGUUUGUGCUGCAUGUGCAGGAUAGGUAGGAGACUUUGAAGUCGGAACGCUAGUUUCGAUUGAGUCACCCUUGAGAUACUACCUCUGUUGUAUGAACGUUCUAACUCUGAUCAGUUAUCCUGAUCGAAGACAGUGUCUGGCAGGCAGUUUGACUGGGGCGGUCGCCUCCUAAAAGAUAACGGAGGCGCUCAAAGGUUUGCUCAGAAUGGUUGGAAAUCAUUCGUAGCGUGUAAAGGCAUAAGCAAGCUUGACUGUGAGACUGACAAGUCGAGCAGGUACGAAAGUAGGACUUAGUGAUCCGGUGGUUCCGUAUGGAAGGGCCAUCGCUCAACGGACAAAAGCUACCCCGGGGAUAACAGGCUCAUCUCCCCCAAGAGUCCACAUCGACGGGGAGGUUUGGCACCUCGAUGUCGGCUCAUCGCAUCCUGGGGCUGUAGUCGGUCCCAAGGGUUGGGCUGUUCGCCCAUUAAAGCGGUACGCGAGCUGGGUUCAGAACGUCGUGAGACAGUUCGGUCCCUAUCCGUCGUGGGCGCAGGAAAUUUGAGAGGAUCUGUCCUUAGUACGAGAGGACCGGGAUGGACAUACCUCUGGUGUACCAGUUGUUCUGCCAAGAGCACCGCUGGGUAGCUACGUAUGGAUUAGAUAAUCGCUGAAAGCAUCUAAGUGAGAAACUAACCUCGAGAUGAGAUUUCCCAUUCGUCAGAAGUAAGACCCCUGAGAGACGAUCAGGUAGAUAGGCUAGAAGUGGAAGUGUAGUGAUGCAUGGAGCGGACUAGUACUAAUAGGUCGAGGACUUAACCAAG